rnacentral:rRNA from 1 species
UUGACCUCGAUCAGUAGG